AUGAAUCUGGAGCUCAGCAUCUUCAGCUAGUGCAGCUAGCCAAUUUGCCCUCGGGACAGUGUCUGUGCUUCCGGAGUGCUGGGAUUAUGGGUGGCUGCAGAUGCAAAGGGCCUUUACGUGGUUUCUGGUCCUCCGAACUCAGCUCCUUGCUGUUGCAUGGCAAGAACUUUAUCCACUGACUCACCUUCCCAAUAGCCAAACUUCCCAUGUUCCAAGUCAGAACAGCCCUUCUCUUCAUCUUAGAGAAGGCCACUCUCACUGAGUCCCAUGAGUAACAUUCCUCCUUCAUCUUCUUCCUGCUAACCCUCAUUCUGCCUCACCGGGUUUCAAUUCUGCUAAGUGGUCUCUUUGCCCUUGGCCCUACUGUCUCUGACUCAUGUACACUUGGUUCUGGGCACAGAAUGGAGUUUCUAAAGCAGUCUGUCCUUCCAGAUCCAUCUUCAACAGCUUUUAGAGGCUCCUUGUAGCCUCCAGGAUACAGCUCACUGUCACCCACUCGUACGUCAUGAUCCUUGCCACCAGCUGAGUCUCACUUGCCUUCUUUUUGGACCCUUAUUCACCCCCAUUUCUUCUCUGUGUUCUGGAUAAGGCUUGUGACAUUUAUAUGCUCAUUUUCUCUGCUUCCAUUUGCUUAUAUAUACCAUCAUCUCUCCCAUCCCAUCUUCCAGGAAUCCACUGAUACUCCUUUGCUGGUUAACUGGGCCUCAGUGAUCACUUCUCUGCUGACGUCAAGGCUUGACCUCACAGGCAACAGAUGUGUAAACUUUGGAUGUCCCGAGGAAAUUUGCACUUAUGCCAGUAGCCAUUCACAUAAGUAUACCUGCUAAUUCCUUUCUCUAUAUCUGUAGCCCCUAAGCUUCUUGAGGGUAGGUUUCCGUUUCCUUUCUUGUUCAAGUCUGAACACCUAGUACCUGACACUGCUAUGUUCAGCCAACACUCUCUGGCUAAUUGAGUGACUGAAGAGUGCUCAGUGCAACUGGGAUCUUGAUUGUGUAAGAUAGUAAUGGAGUGUUGAAGGUUGUCCCUGGUAUGAUAGUGACCCAGUUGAUGGCUUAGGAAGGUUGGCAGGGGAGAUGAAUGCAGAAUGCAGUAAGGCAUGGGGUGAUGAGGACCUUGGGAAGUUGGCAGUGGUAUAGGGCUGAGGUGCCUAUUCCACUCCCAUCCCAUAUGCUUCCCAUGGAGUCCAGGAGAUGGAGGCAAUUCAUGCAUAAUUGAAAACAACCCAAAUCCAAGAAUGGACUUAUAAUAAGCGUGUCAUGAAACUGAAAUGAUCUCAUCCUAUGCCAGGAAGGUACUAAUAUACUACAUUCUCCAAAUCUGAUUGUUUUCCUUUGUUCCCACCCCCCUUCUACAAUAGAGUAUGAUCUCUGUUUGGAUGAUGCUCCUAUUUGAUUGGUAGCUACCUUACCAUUAUCAUUACUGUCUGAAAUACGUGCACAGCUUUCUGAUAACUUGUCUGGGGGCUUUGACCCCUGGGAAGAAUAGAAUGACAACUGGAAGAGUCCAAAAUACUGCUUUUUAAAAAAAGUUCAGACUGGCUAAAUUUGUAGCUUAUCCCAACUCUAAUUUCUAGGCUAGGAACAAAGAGCACCCUCACAUGGCCCUGUCUCGCCUGACCCAUGCUCUCCAGCGCAGUGAUAAGCGGGUGUGCUGCUUUGCUCUUUGUUAGACUGGGUUCUGCCCCAUCUCUCUAAAGAAAUCUUAUAAAUCAUUGAUGAGAAUUCUUCUAUUUUUGUCUUAAAUAUCCCAGCCAAGAAAGCCUCAUGAACACUUUCCAAAUCAAAAGCUGGCAUUGCAUGAUGCUUCCUCAUUGAUGGCGGGCCCAUUUCAUUGUUUUUUUUCUCUUCCCACUUUUGGCUCUGCUGUUGGUGACAACAAUGCCAAGUCUCAGCCUGAGGGUGUGGAGGCAGGGCUGGUGCUGAUGCUGAACUCUGUGUGGCCUUUCUCUCUUUCCUCUGUCUGGCAUGCCCUUCUCCUCCUGUCUGCAAUGAUAACUGGUGUUCGUUUUCAGUAAGGUUUGCUCCUACCUUCUUUCUGCCUCUCUCUCAGUCCCUACCCCAUAAACUCUGUGCCUAGAAAUUCAACCUCCAUCUGCACAUACAAGGUUUAGUGGAUAAAAGGGCCUAUCCCACGGCACGUGCCGAGUCACAUUUGUUCAUAAAGAUGACGUCCCACUUGUUCCCCACUAGCAAGGGGAUUACAAAUGGCUCAUGACAAAUAACCCGUAGCUGAAUUGAAUGAAUAAGUGAAACCAAAGGCCUAAAAGGUUUGACACAUUGCAUGCAUGUUAGGUCUUUUGCACCCCCAAGAACUCUCUGGACAUGCUACCUGAAGGUGGUUUAACACAGAAUGUUUCUGCGACUCCAAAAUUAUGCUCUAUGGAGAGGUAAGAUGAGGAGAAUUCAUUUUUUUCCUCAUGAUCUCCAACUUGUUGGGUCCGUCUCUCACUUUGGCUUCUCAGCCUUCAUAAAAAUACUUUACAUUGCCUCUCCUUCGCUUAUGAAUUGUUUGCUUUAGUAUGAGCUCUCUAAUCCAAGUAAGUCUUGUAUUCCAGACCAGAAUAGAAAUACAUGGAGGAAAAAAAUGUGUCCUUUUAAUUUGCAGUCAAACUGUGUAGACUCCAUUCAUCAGGAAUUUCUUUAUUUUUUCUUUUUCAUUCUUCUCUCAUACAAUACACCCCAACUGCAGCUUCCCCUCCCUCGAUACCUCCCCAGUACCCACCCCACUCCCAUCGACUCUGUUUACCUUCAUAAAAGACCAGGCCUCCCAGGGAUAUCAACGGACUGUGUAGCAAUGUUCAAUAAGACUAGGGACAAACCCAUCAAGGCUGUAUGAGGCAACCCAGUAGAAUGAAAGGGUACCAAGAGCAGGCAAAAGAAUCAGAGGCACCACCACUCUCACUGUUAGGACCCCCAUGAGAAGUCCAAGCUAUUCAACAAUAGCAUGUAUGCAGAGGACCUAGUGUAGACCCAUGUGGGCUCCAUGAUUGCCACUUCAGUCCCUGUGAGCCCUCAGGAGUCCUGCCAUCUGGUGGGACCCUGCUUUUAUUUGUAAUAUUAAAGCUUAGAAUCUAAGUUCAACAAGAAAUCAACAGUGUAUUUCCAACUAUUUUUUUUAAAUCAUGGUUUUUAUAGCCAUUUUCUGACAACAAAAGUGUUAUGGAUUUACAUAGCUUAUAUAAUUGCAUAGGUAUGCAGCAGAAAAAAUGUUAGAUAAGUCAAAAUCACCCAGGGGACUGGACAAUUUUUAUUAUGUCUUUGUAACAAUUAGAUGCUUUGGAGAAUUCAUUCUUUGGUAUUUUUACGACUAUGGAGAUGGUGCAUUUUCUUUGCCAUUAACUUGUGUGUCAGUGAUAAGUGAUAAGCCAGAACUGUGGAACUGCCCACCAGUACCAAACUGCUUGCAUUGAAGCCCACCAUAACCAAUGAUGUGCUGUCUUCCAUGAGUGCCGUACUCUGCACCACAGUAUCAGACCGUGCCCGAGGAGGUGGGUGUAAGCCUUUAGUCCGAGACCAAACACAAACACCUGGAAGAGCUUUCCCUCAGAUGAGUUGCCUCAUCUCCUGAAGAAGGCAGCAUUCUGGUUGAACACGGAAGGAGACUGCUGAUCUUAUAAGCCAGGAUUGUGCCUGAUACCUAAAAAGUGUUCAGCAAACGCUGUUGGCAACCUAAGAAGAGACUUGUGUUCUAGGCAGCCGGAAAGAGUGAGACACGGGAAGCAGGAGGUCCAAGCUCAUUUGGGAUGUGGUGAGUCAUAUUCUGGGAGCUCAGCACAAGGCUGGGGUGUCUGAGCCAGUAUCUGAGGACGGAUCUGGUUGGCUGGGUGGUGGCUGAGUGUGAAAGUCCUUGAAUUGAGCUGAGGAUUUUAGACUUUAAUCAGAAGGCGGUGGAAAUCCCUGAAUGUGUUGGAGCAAAGACAAGGCACGAUCCAUGUUGGUGAGAGGCUGUGUGGGGUGGUAAGAGCUGGGAGCAGAGCAAGCCUCCUGAGGCUGCUGCUGAAGAUUGAAUUGUGAGUAUCAGAGUCAUGAACCAUAAGAGUAGCCGUGAGUGGGUGGCAGAGGGGGGGCUUUUCAAAAACAGAAUGUGUAGUUCUGGGGGCUCCCUUCAGGGUGAUAUUUCCUUUUUGCCUGGGAACCUUGGCUUCUUGUCCUCUUCUGCCACACUGUGUCCCAUGGUAUCAGACCCUAGAGGGGCCUGACGUCUAUAACUCCCCCCCCCCAGAGGUGGCUCUCACUCAGAGACAGGAUUGACUUGAGGCUGGAGUGUGUGGAUGAAUUUGUUAGCAUCCUUUUAUAUUUAUAAGUUGUUACGAUUUGAGUUAUGCAGUGUGAGUGUAUGCAAGUGUGUUUUCCCACUCAGUGGGCCUGCAGUCUCAUAGGUGGGAAGAAGAAAGGCUGUAGAAUAGAUGGCCUGGAUUUGAACCUGGCUUUCACCUGCAGGAUACAUGCCAACAGCCAGUUUCCUGUCUGCCUCCAGCCUCAGAGUCCAUACCUGUGGAGCUGGGAGGAAUGUAGCCUUCUGAUUUCCUUGGCUAUGCUAAAUAAGAUCACACCUGCUGUGUGUUUAGUGUGGUACCCCGGGCACCAGAAGAAGUCAGUCAGUACCGCUACAGCUAUUGACGCUUCUUCAGGCAUUAGUGGUCAGGGUAGGAGUCCUAUCUUCCCUAAGCCCUUGUCAGCCCAGCCUGUGUGUGUGGCCGCUAGACAUAUCUUCUAGUCUGGUUAUUAGUGUUCUUCCCCUCAAAUCCUGACCACCUUACAAGCUGAUGUAGAGGGUCCUAGUCUGUGACACAAGUACCUGCAUUCACAUUUGGGACAAGUUCAUUAGCUUUACCAUGCAAAAGACCUGGAAGACACCCCAAGACCUAACCUUUGCCCUCAGGGAAUUCCCCUGGGGAAGGGGCGAUAGAGAGUCCUAAUAGAAGAGCUAGGACAAUGAGGCAAGGCUAAGGGGAACCCGGGCUGGCAUGUGCCCAUUGGGAGCAGCAGCCCUGCCAGGGGAGCACAGUGGUAGGAACGGACUUCCUGGAGUCUGUCUGUGCAGCUCCCCGGCAACUUCCUGUCAUCCUCAGCCAAGGGUAGGAGAUGUGACUACAGGGGACACCUUGAGACUGUGGGAUCAGGAAAUCCCUGACACUGAACACCUCUCUUCAAAGCAAUAUAAAUAAAUAGACUAAGUAUUGAAUACAAGUGCCUGAAUGUGUGAAUGGUAUGGAGUCACGCCAUGGGCAUUUGUCUCCACUGAAGAGAAAGUUGGAAGUGUUGGGACUGGUACACAUCAGUCAAAUUUGUGGCCGCAGAGCCUGUCACUGUAAAAAUCAGUCAUAAGUAAGGCAGAACUGAGACCUGGCUAUCCUGAGGGACUUACAAGUUUAAACCAGGACAAACUUUAAUUUGGGAAGUCACUGUGUUCUUAAAUACUUUACUGUGUUCCAAUGGGGCUGUUUUCUCCAGCUGAGCAACAGAAAGUUCCCACAGGCUUUAUUGCCUAGCACUGGAAGGGAGAGACAGGGACUGCACUCAGGAAACCACCUUUGGAAUCAAGUUCCUCAGAUGUCAAAAUAAACAUCUAAAGAAGGUGGAAGUUGACUCUCACUUCUGUUAUUCCAUGCACUGUGUGUGUGUGCGUGUGUGUGUGCUCACUCACAUAUGUUUCCAUGUGCGUAGUCAUUUGUGUGUACAAGUGUGCAGAAAACAGAGACUGAUGUGGAUAUCUCCUCAAUUACUUUCCUUCUUAUAUCCUUAUUUAAUGGGACGGCAUUUGUCACUUGAAACCAAAGGUUGUUGACUUGGCUGGUCUAGGGGAUCCCUUGCCUUUACCUCCUGAAGCACUAGGAUUAUAGGGAGCUACCUCACCCACCUGCAUUUACUUGGGCGCUGGGGAUCUGAACUCAGGUCUUUAUGCUUGGAUAGCAAGCACCUUUCCCACUGGACCAUCUCCCCAGACCUUAACUGGCAUUCUUAAAAUGAGAAUACAUGCAUUGGAAACUUUACUCCCCCCCCAACCCCCAUGCCCUGGUUUGAUUGAUGAGUGCUCUGGUUUGCAGACAUCUAAUUUGAAUUAGCUGGAAAGAUUUAAAAAGUGAGCUACAUUGGAAGGUCUGGAAGGUACAUUGGAAGGUCUGGAAGGUCUGGAAGGUUGGUUCAUGUGUCCUGGGCUGAACAGAGGGCACCACAGUCUACAGUUUUACCUAACAGCUUGCAUGCACCUUGGUGAGCCUGAGUUUGCAAUCCUGAGCUGGUAAGCUGCUCCCUAGAUCUCACAGGGAUCUUCCAAUGUCUGCCUGGUGGUGUGAUGUGCACUUCAAGCUACCACCUUCGCCAGCCGCAGCCAAGUUAUGGAAACCAAAGGAGUCAUGUCCCACCCAUUUCGAGCUUUCCCAGUUUCCCACUCUAUUUCCAAGUGUGCCUGUGAAUCAGCAGCUAAUGAACUUGGACAGCAGAGCAGAUUUAAAUCUUGCAAUCACUGCUGGGAAGUGAGCUGUAUCAUCUUGAGAAAUCAGACCACAGAGACCAGCCUGCAGCUGGCAGCCUGGGUCAUCUCUAAUCACUUAACCCUUCGUAUCAAAGGAUGGCUGGGAGCAGUGGAUUCCUUCUCUAAAAUACGCUGUGGUGCAUUUUAUCAAAGAACGUCGGAGAGUUAAAAUGAAAUAGAGUGUGCACAGCAAAUCCUUGCCUCAUAAGUGGACUUGGUGCCUAUAUACAUGAGUGAUUCUGUGUAUAUCUCAAUGCAAUCCUUCCCCUAUGGCUUUCUGCUAGUGUUCAAGUGCAUAAGUGACUGUAGCAUGUAUGUACAUAUGUUUUGGUGUGAGACUAUUCAAUGCCUCUUUCUGUGCAUGUGCGGAUGAUAUGUGUGUCCAUUGUGUGCCUAUAGGAAACUAUUUCUGUGUCAUAAAAUAAAAGCGAUGCUAUUCAAGGCUGGCCCAGAAAAAUGUUUGAAAUAAAGGUCGGAGUGAUUUUU